CGCACAUACAUAUAACUUAUAAUGUCACAAUAUGUAUAUAUUCGGGACGGCGGAAGGCAGACGUAGAAGAAGCAGCAGUAGUGGCAGCAACAGUUCAGCACCAACAACAACUAUUCCAAUGAGGGCGACAAUAAAGUACUCACCGCCUAGCUCGAAUUCGAAUCAAAAUGUUCCUCAUGCAGAAUGCACAACAACAAAAACAAAGACAAAGAUAAAAGCAACAGAAACUACAUUGGGAUGCGUGGAUGUGGUAGACAGUGAUCAGGAGGACGACAACAACUGCAACAACGGCAGCAGCAGCAACAGUAAAAACUGUAGCUGCAACGAUCCCAUUGCAAUCGACAUGGGCCGGAGACAGCGGUGUAGGCACAAUUAUAGCCACGGUGACAGUGAAACGCAAGUUGUCACAAGGGGCGACAGCAUGAGUGCGAAUCUGAGAAGCAAUUGCUGUCAACGUGAACAUAAAAAUUAUCGCAAACAUGUGAUGUCCCAACUGCCAAGCCGCAAGAGGGACGACGACAACGAUGACGACGAUAACCACAUGAUGAGGCCAGCGUCUGUCACAGAAGUACGAGAACGUCGCCAGUCGCAAUAUGCACGCGACUUUACGGUAAAUUUAGCGACGCAAGUCAAGACAUCCAGAAGAUUGAAGAGAAUAGGUGACGAUUUUGCAACAGCACCACAAACACAAUUAGCAAAUGAGUCAGAACUCGGAUUAACGUUGGAAUCAGCAUUUGACCGGGGCAUAAUGAGCGCCACACUAAAUGCAGUUGAAAGCUCAGACUCUGUGCUUAGCGAUUCGGAUGAUAUUAAAUCUGGCUCACAGGAAAGACUAUCACCCACGGCGAUAUCGUCAACAUUACCCAAAUCACACACGAAGUCUAGCACAGUAAAGACACCAACAAAACCCAUUUGCCUAGCGGGUAAUUUUAGUUUAAGUAACAAAAGACAAUUAGUUAUGCCAAUUGAGGAAGAGAAUAGAUUAGGAAAUGUAUUUGCUGGUGCGCAGCUACGCAAUGAGCUGCCGUUGGAACGACGCCCAAGCACUGAUUGGUAUAAUUUCUCAGCGCUUCAAGCGCAAACACAAUGGCGUCAUAGAAUAUUUUCACGACCCACUUCGAACUCGCUGACAGUGGGCAUUGAGCGGGCUUUUGCUUUUCUCGCCUCUGUAAUCGAUGCAAGAAGAAAUCAAUUGAGGCACGGGAUCGCCUACAAACAAGUUGUGCUUCGCAGUCUUGCAGCCUCAGCAUCAGGAAAUUCGCAAACAACGACAACAACAUUUGACUGCAGGUGCUUUAAGGAAAAUAGUGAUAUUUGUAUGGUUGCUGAUCAAACGGAUGCGGAUGCGGAGGUGGAUGUUGAUGCUGUUCAGGCAGAAACAGUAGAUAAAAGAGAAAUGUGCGUAUUAGCAGGACAUAGUGAUAGACGAGUGGCAAGCCCAGAACAUCGGCAUCCAGCACAACGAUUCAAUUUCUUUUCCUCGUCUUCACUGCUGAUGCGAACAAAUAUUUGCUCUUUGGCAUUAACGGGUGUGCCGCCUUGGCCGACUAAUCUUAUGCUUUUAUCACUAUUUAUGCUGAGUUUAACUGCGCCGGCCAGUUGCUGGACAGGACGAUCAGAUGUUCCAACAAAUUGCACUUUUCCCGCACGUUGGGAAGGUUCAUGGUUCCUAUCUUGCUAUCAACAGUCUAUUCAUAUAAAGGGUUCACAAUUCAGUUAUCGUGGUAAAUGUGCGGCUUCGGAUGGUAACAAAUAUUUGAUUGUUGACGAGAAAGGAUGUCAUCGGUGCCUGGUUAUCUAUGAAAAACAUAAAAAUGUUCUUCAAUAUAAAGAAAGUGAGUGCGAAGGUGAUAGUAUGUAUAUGCAUCAAACGAAUCCAUCUGCCAUGGCGAUGCGUAGCGUUUUAAAACAAAGCGAACAUAGGGGGGGAGCUCAUCCCAAUUUGAACAACAACAACGGGCAUUCAAGACUAUCCUCAUCGGAUCAGUAUAUAAUGAGAUCCUAUGAUGAUAUGAAUGAUUGUCCCCCAGACUUUUGCAAGGGCCGUGAAACGUUACAGAAUCUCUGCGAUCAAAUACCCGGUGACGCUUUGCUGUAUUCGCUGUUUCGCGAGAGUGCCGAACCGGUCAAGUGUCCGUUGAAGGGACCCUUUGUAUUCACUUAUAAUCGUGGACACGGUGAAUGUAAGAGUCCUGUUUCGAAUAUCGAAAGUUGCACUGAAGAUAGUCGGCUGUUGCUCAGCUUCCAAGCUUGUCCUGAUGUGCAAGGCACAGAGAGUACAGUUGAAGAACUAACAUGCUUGGCCACCUGGAAGGAUGGAAACUCCCGUUAUCUUGUCGGCUUGGUUUCACAUCAUCAUGCAAUUUCCAAUGAAGAACGUUAUCGCUGCUUCGUCUAUGAGAAAAUUUCAUCACUAUUGGGUGGACUUAGCACUGUGAGUGCAAAAGAUGCCGAAUACAAAUUAGCACAAUCUGGUGAUGCUACCUGCAAUGGACUGGAUAGUGCAGAGGUUGGUUCACGCAUAAUGUCGCUGAGAAAACCACCGAUCACGGAACGUUGUGACUUCCCGGCUUGGUUCAAGGGACCGCGACACUGGCAUGUUCUCAUGGGUAACGCUGUCUACAACUAUCACCCCAAUGAUGGCUCUGUACAUAUUAUUAAGCCAAAUGGUUUCAUGGAGACACGAGCACUCUGCGAGCAGAUUAAUAAGCAAACCGCUACUGAAAUGAUGGCUGUGGUGCACUAUACAACCGGAUGUCAAUCGGGCUUUAUGUGCAUGAUGUUUUAUCGCCGCGAUACACAUGUCAUUGAAAUUCAGACAGGCAAACAGGCAUCACGGCUUGAGGAUGCUUGUGCGCCGGAUCAUUUCGAUGUGAAUCGUAUGCCAUAUAUUACGUUGCUAGCUAGCAAUCCGGAUCCACAAAUUUGUCCGAUGGAGGGUUUGUUCAAUUUGCGUGGCGCUAUUGGGCCGCCUUACUUGACUACGCGUCACAAACGUAAUCACAACAAUAAAAUUCAUUUAACUCACGGUCAUCAUCAUAGCCAAAGCGAUUUAGUUGUUGCAGCGGGUACGGCAAGUGGAGUUGAUGGCGGCGGUUAUGCGAAUAAAAGACAAGCCACACUUACUUUCCGCGAUGCUGAUAAAGUGGACAAAGGUGCGUGGCAUGCCAAUGCGCGUGCUCUCCAACCGGGACGAAAUAGACGCGCCACUGCCACAGCAAUCAACAAUAAUUCUGGCAGUAUCGUUAACACUACGACCACUUUGGAGCAUAUGAAUAUACUGGAGAGCGAAUUGCAACGACCAAAUGGUUCAGUGGCUGUAGACGAAGCAUCAUCACGAAAAGCAGUGGAUUUCGAACAUUCAACAAAGGCAAUUGAUUUGGAUCGGCAACGUAAUCGUCGCGAUGCACCUGGCUGCAUAACAAAUUACAAAGCGCAACGACGCCUCUGGGUGGGUUGCACCGAACCGGAUAUUAUUGAUGUGCGACCAAUGUGCAAUGAAGAUGGUGACGAAGAGUACUCUUGUCACGGAUCGUGGUCUGAGAAUAGCACUGUGUAUAUUAUCGCGCGACAUAAAGGCACCAAACAUGGUGUAUGUCUGAGUUAUCGCCCAACUGAAGGCACAGCGGCCAAACUGGUUAUCGGCGAUGCUUGUUAUCGCGGCACACAAAAACCACCCGAUCAUCAUUUGGUGGCCAAUCUAACUGUUUUCGGAAAAUGUGGAGAAACUGGUUCUGCCGCGAUACAAAUACGACUCAGCGCUGAGCUAAUCAAACUGGCUGCAGUGGUGUACGUGUUGUUGUUGGCGGUGAAUGUAAUGAACAAUGUGAAAGAUCGAAGAUGAUAAAUUUGCAACGGUAAUUGAAGAAGAUCAACGAAGGACAAUGAAAUACCCGUAGAAAAUACUAAAGAUAUACACACACCCAAACAAGUAGUUAAAUACAAUAUGUCAGUAUGGAAUCAGGUGCAUAUACAUAUGGCUUCAUUCAUGUAUGUGUGAAUGUACGUCGGUGUAAGUUUAUCAAAUAUUAAUGGCUUGCUGUUCUAUCUACAUACAUUCAUACAUACAUGUUUGUAUAUCGAUAGCUGUGUAUGCAUGUAAGACAGUGAAUAUUUUAAAAGCAGAACUCGAAUUAUCGCACGUAAGACUCACUUGUCUGCAAUUGAAAACACGUGAUAAGAGCGACGGCCUACAAAUAUCGAUCGGGUACUAAAUGUUGGACUAAUGUAUACCUUUUGAAUAAGACUUAGCAUUCGUAGUAACGCCCACACUUAUUAUGAACGAACGAACGAAACGCGCAUGCGUACGCAUAUGUUAUCGCACACACAUACAUAGAAGCAUAAAGGAGCAGAGAGAAAAUAUGUUGUAAAUAUUAUACAUACAUAUGACAUUGGUUUGUAUGGAUAUGAAUGUCGUUUAUAAAAUAUAUGAAGAAAACGAGUUAUAAAUAUAAAAAAUCGACUUUGUAAAUAAUAAAAUGAGCAUAUUUUCAAUUAGUUAUCCUAAGAAAUCGUAAUUUUAAGACACAACUGAACUAAGCGUAGAUAAAUACAUAAAUGGUUUGCAAUAGAGCCUUAGUUACGGAUAAGUGUUCCCAAAAGUGAAAGGUGGUUAGCGGGGGACGGUAAAUAGCCGUUACUUAUAUAUAAUUAGAACAAGUAGACGUGCAAAAA
rnacentral:misc_RNA from 1 species